rnacentral:rRNA from 1 species
UACGUAGGUGGCAAGCGUUGUCCGGAAUUACUGGGCGUAAAGGGUGCGCAGGCCGCGCGGGCAGUCAAAUGUGUAAUCCAGGGGCUCAACCCCUGAACUGCGCUUGAUACUUCCGCGCUCGAGCUUUGGAGAGGAGUCUGGAAUUCUCGGUGUAGCAGUGAAAUGCGUGGAUAUCGAGAAGAACACUUAGGGCGUAGGCAAGACUCUGGACAAAUGCUGACGCUCAUGCACGAAGGCUAGGGUAGCGAACGGG